GUCUACGGCCAUACCACCCUGAAAGAGCCUGAUCUCCUCUGAUCUCAGAAGCAAAGCAGGGUCGGGCCUGGUUAGUACUUGGAUGGGAGACAAAGUGGUCAGAGAAA
rnacentral:rRNA from 1 species